rnacentral:sRNA from 1 species
CCCCGCCCCUCCUCGGACUCUGACGGGUAGUGAACUCGGGGCCGCCGGGCUCCAGAGUCCCUCGGGUCUCAGGUCAUGGCGAUCCCGGGGCCCGCGCCCGGAGCUGGCGCCAGGCCCAGGUUAGAUCUGCAAUUUCUCCAGCGGUUCCUGCAGAUACUGAAGGUUUUGUUUCCUUCUUGGUCGUCACAGAAUGCCUUGAUGUUCCUGACCCUUUUGUGCCUGACCCUCCUGGAGCAAUUUGUGAUCUACCGGGUUGGCUUGAUCCCCAGUCAGUACUAUGGGGUCCUGGGAAACAAAGACUUGGAAGGGUUUAAGACUCUGACAUUCCUGGCUGUCAUGCUCAUUGUUCUGAACUCCACGCUGAAGAGCUUUGAUCAGUUCACCUGCAACCUGCUGUAUGUGAGCUGGAGGAAGGACCUCACUGAGCACCUCCACCGCCUCUACUUCCGGGGCCGUGUGUACUACACCCUCAACGUGCUGCGGGAUGACAUCGAUAACCCGUAGGCGCCCCAACUCAGUACUUUCUACACUCUGUGUGGUCCCUUCCAUCUGGCCUAGCCCUGGAGACUCCUGGUGGCAGACACCAAGGAGAUC